rnacentral:rRNA from 1 species
GACGAACGCUGGCGGCGUGCUUAACACAUGCAAGUCGAACGGUAAGGCCCUUCGGGGUACACGAGUGGCGAACGGGUGAGUAACACGUGGGUGAUCUGCCCUGCACUUCGGGAUAAGCCUGGGAAACUGGGUCUAAUACCGGAUAGGACCACUGCCUGCAUGGGUGGUGGUGGAAAGCUUUUGCGGUGUGGGAUGGGCCCGUGGCCUAUCAGCUUGUUGGUGGGGUGAUGGCCUACCAAGGCGACGACGGGUAGCCGGCCUGAGAGGGUGACCGGCCACACGGGGACUGAGAUACGGCCCAGACUCCUACGGGAGGCAGCAGUGGGGAAUAUUGCACAAUGGGCGCAAGCCUGAUGCAGCGACGCCGCGUGAGGGAUGACGGCCUUCGGGUUGUAAACCUCUUUCAGCACCGACGAAGCGCAAGUGACGGUAGGUGCAGAAGAAGGACCGGCCAACUACGUGCCAGCAGCCGCCGUAA